rnacentral:rRNA from 1 species
AAAAGGAAAGACCGGUGCAAGCGGGACAGUAGCCAUGCAGGCAAAUCCGUGUGGCAAUACGAAGACGUGACGCGGACCGAAAUAAAGUAGGGAAGCAUGUGAGCCAUGUGCCAAGAAAAGCCGCUAUAGAUCAUACCGUACCCGUACCGUAAACCGACACAGGUAGAUGAGGAGAGAAUCCUAAGGCCGACGGGAGAAGCAUUGUUAAGGAACUCGGCAAAAUGACCCCGUAACUUCGGGAGAAGGGGUGCCCACGCGAGUGGGCCGCAGAGAAUAGGCUCAAGCAACUGUUUAGCAAAAACACAGGUCUAUGCGAAACCGAAAGGUGAGGUAUAUGGGCUGACGCCUGCCCGGUGCUGGAAGGUUAAGAGGAGGAGUCAGGCAACGAAGCUCCGAAUUUAAGCCCCAGUAAACGGCGGCCGUAACGAUAACGGUCCUAAGGUAGCGAAAUUCCUUGUCGGGUAAGUUCCGACCCGCACGAAAGGCGUAAUGAUUUGAGCACUGUCUCGACAAUGCACCCGGUGAAAUUGAAGUACCAGUGAAGAUGCUGGUUACCUGCGCCAGGACGGAAAGACCCCAUGGAGCUUUACUCCAGUUUGAUACUGGGAUUCGAUACUGAAUGUACAGGAUAGGUGGGAGGCUGAGAAGCGUGGACGCCAGUCUGCGGUGAGCCGCUGUUGGGAUACCACCCUUUGAGUAUUGGAUUUCUAACCUGCGCCCGUGACCCGGGCGGGGGACAAUGUCUGACGGGGAGUUUGACUGGGGCGGUCGCCUCCGAAAGGGUAUCGGAGGCGCUCAAAGGUUCCCUCAGAAUGGUUGGAAACCAUUCGCAGAGUGCAAAGGCAGAAGGGAGCUUGACUGUGACACCGACGGGUGGAGCAGGUACGAAAGUAGGACUUAGUGAUCCGGUGGUAUGAAAGUGGGAUUGCCAUCGCUCAACGGAUAAAAGCUACCCUGGGAUAACAGGCUUAUCACUCCCAAGAGUUCACAUCGACGGAGUGGUUUGGCACCUCGAUGUCGGCUCAUCGCAUCCUGGGGCUGUAGCAGGUCCCAAGGGUUGGGCUGUUCGCCCAUUAAAGCGGUACGCGAGCUGGGUUCAGAACGUCGUGAGACAGUUCGGUCCCUAUCCGGCGCAGGCGUAGGAUAUUUGAGAGGAGCUGUCCUUAGUACGAGAGGACCGGGAUGGACAGACCGCUGGUGUAUCUGUUGGUGACCAACACCAUGGCAGAGUAGCCAAGUCUGGCAGGGAUAAACGCUGAAGGCAUCUAAGCGUGAAGCCCCCCUCAAGAUGAGAUAUCCCAAUAAGUAAGACCCCUUAGAGAGUAUGAGGUAGAUAGGCUUAAGGUGUAAGCAUAGUAAUAUGUUCAGCUGAUAAGUACUAAUAGGUCGAGGGC